AUUAAAACAGUGAAAUCAAUGGGUUUAGACUACCGAUUGUUUCUGGAGAUCACACAGCACUUUGUUUACCCUGAAAAAAGGCCAGAAUGUAGACACGUCUCUGUAGCUGUCCGGCAAAAUAAGUGGGAUACAAAUGAAAAGUGCCCGAAGGACAUAUUACACACAGAUAUCCAUAUGAGGAGUUUUGUGCAUAUACUUUGUUACAACACAAACGGAGGCCAGCAACCCUCAGUAACGGGAAAAACACCUUUAUAUACAGUAAUCUACUUGGAAAUUGUUCCAGUUUGGGGUAAAGAGGUUACUGCUACUUCUGACACAAAUGUAAUUCUGUGCUGUGGAAGUGAAUAAACAUAAACAAAAGCCAGAUUGACCCUUAAGAUACUGACCUGCAGUAUGGUGCUUGAUGUGAGGAAGCAUUGUAGUGUCUAGCCAUCGACUGAAGACACCAGAAUAUACACACCAUCAGUUACAUUGCAUAUACUAUGUGGGUAACACGGUUUUUACCAUAGUUUAAUAAUGUAUCUGUCUAGUGUAAUGAUAUGUAUAUAGCAGUGCAGAAGGCAGUGCCUGAACUGUGAAAUGAUGUUCUGCCAAUAAAACAUAGACCAUAUUCCCAAUGUUCAAUAGGUCUAUCUACAUCAUAGUUUCAUAGAAAAUGUUAUGUAUAUAGGCUAUACGAGCAUAAUGGUAGUACAGAAUACUGUUAUCACAGCCAUGUUUACGUUGGAGCAAUCUUCUACACCUGUACUUUAUGUAAUAACGAUAUUACUAUAUAGUAUGGAAUGCUUGCAUUUUUUUAUUUUAACUCAUACACUAAAAUGCAAUGGUGUUGAAAAGUACAGGAGAAGAAUAUCUCACUCCAAAUGACAUUGGAACUGUGUAUCACAUUGUAAUAAAACAAAGAAACAACGAAUUAUUAAACAUUGAUGGAUAUCUGUAAUGCCAUGGAAAACAAGCAGAUAUGAAAAGUUAGUGGAGUUGCAGACAAAAACUUCAAGAGAAAUAUAAAGGCCAAGCUGUUACCUUAUAUGCAGGUAAUGAGCAGCAAAUGGUAAGGAACACACCACACAUGCCACUGCAGAUCCUACACAGAACACACAGCACAUGCACAUUACAGAUCCUACACAGGUAGAACACACCGCACAUGCCACUGCAGAUCCUACACAGAACACACAGCACAUGCACAUUACAGAUCCUACACAGGUAGAACACACCGCACAUGCACACUGCA